GUGCCAGCCGCCGCGGUAAUACCGGCAGCUCAAGUGAUGGCCACUCUUAUUGGGCCUAAAGCGUCCGUAGCUGGCUGCGCAAGUCCGUCGGGAAAUCCACUCGCCCAACGAGUGGGCGUCCGACGGAAACUGCACAGCUUGGGACCGGAAGGCUCGAAGGGUACGUUCGGGGUAGGAGUGAAAUCCAGUAAUCCUGGACGGACCGCCGGUGGCGAAAGCACUUCGAGAAAACGGAUCCGACAGUGAGGGACGAAAGCCAGGGUCUCCAACCGGAUCAGAAACCCGUGUAGUCC
rnacentral:rRNA from 1 species